GCGACAUAAGAUCUUUCAAGGACCAUUUAGCACAAAUAAUACCCGGAAUCGCUCCCCAGCUGUCAGGUGAGGUAUGCUGGCUGCUGUGGCUGCUUGGACCUGAAGAAGCGAGAACAGCACCUCUUCACCGAUCGCCUUCCAUGCGGCAGCAGCGGCACUGUUUCCAGAAGCCGAUCGAGCAGCGUUCCGCAGAGGCCGGGUGGCCAUGGCGUGCGUGGCGGCACAUGGAGAUGGAGGCCGGCGUGGCCGCCCAUGCCGCCGGAUUGGGGGGGCCGGAGAUGUUGGUGCUGGUUAGCUCGCCAUGGCUUUCAAUGCUCGUGUGCCUGGGCGCUGUGGGUUGCGCCGUGUUAAUCGUUUGGCGAUGGUUGGCUCAUGUGCAUGGUGUGACUUGGCAGCAAACUGACACUAUGAGCGUCUGCUCACGGCACAAAGGUUUUGCUUGCAGACGGUUAAUAAGGGAGCUGCUUCACUCUCCCUCGCUUCAUCUGAAAGCGACCAUGGUGUGGCCGGCCGUGCUUUGAGUAGCAGUAUUACUCUUCAGGCUUCAGCCUAACAAACACCAACCGGUGAUAUUCAGAUUUGUUCAUUUGACUUGCAAUACUAGUACAUAGUUUUUUUUUUGCUGGAAUAGUACUUAGUGCCUGUUCGGCAACGCUCCUUGGAGCGGAGCGCACCAGCUUCAGAAACUGUAACUCGACGCCACUCCGCUCCGGCGCAGAGUCACGGAGCGGAAGGAAUCCCAACACGUCUUAGUAAGUGCUUCCUCUGUAAACAAAUACAAAAGUGUUUAGAUCAUUAUUUUAAUAGUCUAAACGUUAUUAUAUUAGUUUACGGAGGGAGUACAUAGUUGAAAGCAAAAGCUUCUAUGCACUGAUGAGGGCGGCCUGCCACCCAACCUGAGGGGAUAAUUGGAUUGCAUAGAGAAAGGAAAGCGUGGUUGCUUUUGAGCUGGGUUAAUUGGAUUGUUUGUGUGUUCCGAAUGGCAUGAUUGCUAAUAGUGUGUUGUUCCGCGGGUUGUCACCAAUCAUGGUUAUCACCUGGAUAUGUAAUCCACUGCCUGCCUGACACUCCAAGCGUGCCUUGCUUCACUGCUGCCAUGUUCUGAUCUUCAGCGCCAUUCGCCCGCCCAUGUUUCCGCUCAGGCUGUUUUCCAACUUGUUUUACUGUGC
rnacentral:lncRNA from 1 species